rnacentral:rRNA from 1 species
AACGAACGCUGGUGGCAGGCUUAACACAUGCAAGUCGAACGCCCCGCAAGGGGAGUGGCAGACGGGUGAGUAACGCGUGGGAACGUGCCCUUCGCUUCGGAAUAGCCCCGGGAAACUGGGAGUAAUACCGGAUACGCCGUAUUGGGAAAGAUUUAUCGGCGAAGGAUCGGCCCGCGUUGGAUUAGCUAGUUGGCGGUGUAAUGGACCAUCAAGGCUACGAUCCAUAGCUGGUCUGAGAGGAUGAUCAGCCACACUGGGACUGAGACACGGCCCAGACUCCUACGGGAGGCAGCAGUGGGGAAUCUUGGACAAUGGGCGCAAGCUUGAUCCAGCCAUGCCGCGUGAGUGAAGAAGGCCUUAGGGUUGUAAAACUCUUUCGCCGGAGAAGAUAAUGACGGUAUCCGGAGAAGAAGCCCCGGCUAACUUCGUGCCAGCCGCCGCGGUAAAAC